rnacentral:rRNA from 1 species
UGGGGAAUAUUGGACAAUGGGCGAAAGCCUGAUCCAGCCAUGCCGCGUGUGUGAAGAAGGUCUUCGGAUUGUAAAGCACUUUAAGUUGGGAGGAAGGGCAGUAAGCGAAUACCUUGCCGUUUUGACGUUACCGACAGAAUAAGCACCGGCUAACUCUGUGCCAGCAGCCGCGGUAAUACAGAGGGUGCAAGCGUUAAUCGGAAUUACUGGGCGUAAAGCGCGCGUAGGUGGUUCGUUAAGUUGAAUGUGAAAGCCCCGGGCUCAACCUGGGAACUGCAUCCAAAACUGGCGAGCUAGAGUAGGGCAGAGGGUGGUGGAAUUUCCUGUGUAGCGGUGAAAUGCGUAGAUAUAGGAAGGAACACCAGUGGCGAAGGCGACCACCUGGGCUCAUACUGACACUGAGGUGCGAAAGCGUGGGGAGCAAACAGG